rnacentral:rRNA from 1 species
CAAGCGGUGGAGCAUGUGGUUUAAUUCGAUGCAACGCGAAGAACCUUACCUGGUCUUGACAUCCACAGAAUCUUGCAGAGAUGCGAGAGUGCCUUCGGGAACUGCGAGACAGGUGCUGCAUGGCUGUCGUCAGCUCGUGUUGUGAAAUGUUGGGUUAAGUCCCGCAACGAGCGCAACCCUUAUCCUUUGUUGCCAUUGGUUCGGCCGGGAACUCAAAGGAGACUGCCGUUGAUAAAGCGGAGGAAGGUGGGGACGACGUCAAGUCAUCAUGGCCCUUACGACCAGGGCUACACACGUGCUACAAUGGCGUAUACAAAGGGAGGCGACCUCGCGAGAGCAAGCGGACCUCAUAAAGUACGUCUAAGUCCGGAUUGGAGUCUGCAACUCGACUCCAUGAAGUCGGAAUCGCUAGUAAUCGUGAAUCAGAAUGUCACGGUGAAUACGUUCCCGGGCCUUGUACACACC